AGCGAACGCUGGCGGCAGGCUUAACACAUGCAAGUCGAGCGGGCAUCCUUGUGGUGUCAGCGGCAGACGGGUGAGUAACGCGUGGGAACGUGCCCUUCGGUUCGGAAUAACUCAGGGAAACUUGAGCUAAUACCGGAUACGUGCGGGAGCAGAAAGGUUUAUCUGCCGAAGGAUCGGCCCGCGUCUGAUUAGCUAGUUGGUGAGGUUAUGGCUCACCAAGGCGACGAUCAGUAGCUGGUCUGAGAGGAUGAUCAGCCACACUGGGACUGAGACACGGCCCAGACUCCUACGGGAGGCAGCAGUGGGGAAUAUUGGACAAUGGGGGCAACCCUGAUCCAGCCAUGCCGCGUGAGUGAUGACGGCCUUAGGGUUGUAAAGCUCUUUUCUCCGGGACGAUAAUGACGGUACCGGAGGAAUAAGCCCCGGCUAACUUCGUG
rnacentral:rRNA from 1 species